UGAAAGACUUGAACAGAGAGAAGGGAGCAGGAAGAAAAGGAGGGGGGAAGACAACGACAGAAAGAGACAGUGACAGGAAAGGAAGAAAAUGAGUAAGUUUGGUUUGAUUUAUGAUGAGAGAGCAGAAUAAGGAAUCAAAAUGGAUAGAAUGAAUAUGACUAUAAUGUUUUGGAAGCAUGUGGGGAUUGAGGAUUGAUAAGUGGGUGGAGAAGAGAGAGAAUGCAUAGAGGUGGAACAUGAACUGAAAGCUGGGGAUUGAAAAGGAAGAAAAAUGAAAGAUGAAGACAGCCAUGGGAGGACUGAGGAAUGAUAAUGAAAACAGGACGAUGUCAAGGAAAGAGAGCUAUGACGGUGAGCCGAGGCAUAAGGAGAGAUCAAUUUUUUGAUAAAUAAGGGAAGAGGCUGCACAAAAUAAACAACUAUACGGACAGAGGGAGGUUGGAGCAGAGUGUCCUCGAUACCAAAUGAGCCCCGGUUACAAUGAGAGUGAACUGAAUAAAAUGAGGGUUCUUGGACAAAGCUGAAAUAGCGUGAAACAGCAACAAGGACAAGAGCCAUCCUUGAGUCAGUUCCAUUAUAAGUGGUUAAAAUCUUUUACCCCAUUACUUAUGGUCUUAUAGGAGAAAAAAA